rnacentral:rRNA from 1 species
ACGGGAGGCAGCAGUGGGGAAUAUUGCACAAUGGAGGAAACUCUGAUGCAGCGACGCCGCGUGAGUGAAGAAGUAUUUCGGUAUGUAAAGCUCUAUCAGCAGGGAAGAAAAUGACGGUACCUGACUAAGAAGCACCGGCUAAAUACGUGCCAGCAGCCGCGGUAAUACGUAUGGUGCAAGCGUUAUCCGGAUUUACUGGGUGUAAAGGGAGCGUAGGUGGCAAGGCAAGCCAGAAGUGAAAACCCGGGGCUCAACCGCGGGAUUGCUUUUGGAACUGUCAUGCUAGAGUGCAGGAGGGGUGAGCGGAAUUCCUAGUGUAGCGGUGAAAUGCGUAGAUAUUAGGAGGAACACCGGAGGCGAAGGCGGCUCACUGGACUGUAACUGACACUGAGGCUCGAAAGCGUGGGGAGCAAACAGGAUUAGAUACCCUGGUAGUCCACGCGGUAAACGAUGAAUACUAGAUGUCGGGUAGCAAAGCUACUCGGUGUC